rnacentral:rRNA from 1 species
GGCGAACGCUGGCGGCGUGCUUAACACAUGCAAGUCGAACGCUGAAGCUCAGCUUUUGUUGGGUGGAUGAGUGGCGAACGGGUGAGUAACACGUGAGUAACCUGCCUCCUUCUUUGGGAUAACGCCCGGAAACGGGUGCUAAUACUGGAUAUUCACUGGUCUUCGCAUGGGGGUUGGUGGAAAGGGUUUUUCUGGUGGGGGAUGGGCUCGCGGCCUAUCAGCUUGUUGGUGGGGUGAUGGCCUACCAAGGCUUUGACGGGUAGCCGGCCUGAGAGGGUGACCGGUCACAGUGGGACUGAGAUACGGCCCAGACUCCUACGGGAGGCAGCAGUGGGGAAUAUUGCACAAUGGGCGCAAGCCUGAUGCAGCGACGCCGCGUGAGGGAUGGAGGCCUUCGGGUUGUGAACCUCUUUCGCUCAUGGUCAAGCCGCAACAAUGGUUGUGGUGAGGGUAGUGGGUAAAGAAGCGCCGGCUAACUACGUG